rnacentral:rRNA from 1 species
AUACGUAGGUGGCAAGCGUUAUCCGGAUUUAUUGGGCGUAAAGCGAGCGCAGGCGGUUUUUUAAGUCUGAUGUGAAAGCCUUCGGCUCAACCGAAGAAGGGCAUCGGAAACUGGGAGACUUGAGUGCAGAAGAGGAGAGUGGAACUCCAUGUGUAGCGGUGAAAUGCGUAGAUAUAUGGAAGAACACCAGUGGCGAAGGCGGCUGUCUAGUCUGUAACUGACGCUGAGGCUCGAAAGCAUGGGUAGC